UACGAGGGGUCCUAGCGUUGUUCGGAAUUAUUGGGCGUAAAGAGCUCGUAGGCGGUUUGUCGCGUCUGCUGUGAAAACUGGGGGCUCAACUCCCAGCCUGCAGUGGGUACGGGCAGACUAGAGUGCGGUAGGGGAGAUUGGAAUUCCUGGUGUAGCGGUGGAAUGCGCAGAUAUCAGGAGGAACACCGAUGGCGAAGGCAGAUCUCUGGGCCGUAACUGACGCUGAGGAGCGAAAGCAUGGGGAGCGAACAGG
rnacentral:rRNA from 1 species